rnacentral:rRNA from 1 species
CGUAGGGCGCAAGCGUUAUCCGGAAUUAUUGGGCGUAAAGAGCUCGUAGGCGGUUUGUCGCGUCUGCCGUGAAAGUCCGGGGCGUUAACUACCGGACUCUGCGGGUGGGUACGGGGCAGACUUGAGUGAUGUAGGGGAGGACUGGAAUUCCUGGUGUAGCGGUGAAAUGCGCAGAUAUCAGGAGGAACACCGAUGGCGAAGGCAGGUCUCUGGGCAUUAACUGACGCUGAGGAGCGAAAGACAUGGGGAGCGAACAGGAUU